GAGAGAGAGAGAGAGAGAGAGAGAGAGAGAGAGAGAGAGAGAGAGAGGGGUUCAUUAUUUAUAUACACAUUGUAGACAACCUGCUGGAGCAAACCGUGAGAAUGGAAGAAAAAGAAAAGAAAAUGAAAAGUGGAGAACUCAACUAAAUUCUAUCUCGAAGACUAAUGGUUUUAAGGCUUUGAAUAUCAACCUUGAAGCUCAAACACAGUUCGGGAAAUUCCAGAAUUUGUGAUGUCCGCUCGAGCGAUGAAAGCUCCGCUCAAGCGUGAAAGUCGAGCUCCCAGAAGUUUACAAAAGUUUGCAGACCGCUCGAGCGAUGAAAGCUGCGCUCGAGUGAAGUGGACGUCCAAGGCCUUAUAUCGACUUAACCCACUGUGAGCAAACCGAGCAACAGGAUAGAGAAAGUCUCGGAGUCUACCCGUGUCAUCCUUUUAAAGAGCUUCCUGAAUGGAGCAAGUUAGGUUCGAGUAGAGCCAAGAAAAUCCGCCUCUUAACUUUGUCAGAGUUUUGUACUUUACUCUUUUAAAUGUAAAUGUGUGUGAGAUAUAUAAAAUUUGGAUAUAUAUAUAUAUAUAAUUAUUAUUGUAU